rnacentral:lncRNA from 1 species
AAGAUGCUUUAAUAGGAAAAUGUAUGGAAAUAGUUUUGUAAGUGACUAAAGGGGUGUUUGGCCUAACUUUUAAAAAGCGCUUUUGGACUGAAAAGUAAUUUCCGGCUCAAUAGAGCGUUUGACAACUCACUUUUAAAAUCUGAUUCUGCUUUUUAGAAUCAGAAAACUAAUUUUGAAGGCCACAGAAUCAGAAGCAGAAAAAAACUGCUUCUUGAAAACUGAUUCUGAUUUUGGAUUUAAACUUCAAAAUUUUAUUUUUAUUUUAGUUUUAAUAUUUAAAUUUAAUUUUAAUUUUAAAUUUUAAAUUUUAAUUUUCAGAUUCAUUUUAAAAUUUUUAAAUUUUAACUUUUAAAUUUUAAAAUUUUAAAUAUAGAUUUUAAAUUUUAAAUUUUAAUUUUAAAUUUCAAAUCUCAAAUUUUAGAUUUUAAAAUUUCAAAUUUUAUUUCAAAUUUCAAAUUUCAAAUUUCAAAUUUCAGAUUUUAAAAUUUUAAAUUCCAAAUUUUAAAUUUUUAAAUUUUAAAUUCAAAUUUAAAUUUCAAAUUUCAAAUUUUAAAUUUCAAAUUUCAAAUUUUAAAUUUCAAAUUUGACAAUUAGAUUUUAAAAUUUAAAUGUAAAAAUUAAAAUUUUAAUUUUAAAUUAUAAAUUUAAUCUUCAAAUUAUAAUUUCAAAUUUUUAAAAUUAAAAAUUUAUAAAUUUUAAUUCAAAUUAUAAAUUUUAAUUUUUAAAUUUUAAAUAUUCAAAUUUUUAAUUUUUAAUUUUAAAUAUUCAAAUUUUUAAUUUUAUAUUUUAAAUUUCAUAAUUAUUUUAAAUUUUAAAUUUUAAAUUUAAAUUUUAAAUUUAAAUUUUAAAUUUUAAAGUUUAAAAUUUAAAUAUAUUUUUAAAAUUAAAUAGCUUUUCAAACAGCUUUUCAAAAUUUUUAGUUUGCCAAACAGCUUUUUAAAAUCACUUCAGAAAAAAUAACUUUUAUCUAAACUCCGUCAAACGCUCUAUUGCUUUUAAGCAAAAUCACUUUUCCAAACCAAAAUCACUUUUUCAGAAAUCACUUUUUCAAAAGCUAGGCCAAACAGGCCCUAAAUAUUCUUGUCAUUUUGUCUAAUUGUAUAUAUGUGGAAGAUACAAUG